rnacentral:rRNA from 1 species
CCCUUAGAUGUUCUGGGCCGCACGCGCGCUACACUGACGAAUGCAACGAGCUUAUAACCUUGGCCGAAAGGUCUGGGUAAUCUCCAAAUUUCGUCGUGAUGGGGAUAGAUUAUUGCAAUUAUUAAUCUUCAACGAGGAAUGCCUAGUAAGCGCAAGUCAUCAGCUUGCGUUGAUUACGUCCCUGCCCUUUGUACACACCGCCCGUCGCUACUACCGAUUGAAUGGUUUAGUGAGAUCUCUGGAUUGACGCUGGCUAGGGGGCGACCCUUGGCCAGACUGUUGAGAAACUGCUCAAACUUGAUCAUUUAGAGGAAGUAAAAGUCGUAACA